UUUUUUAUUAUAUUAUUUUAUUUUUUCAUUUCUCUAGUGUUACUAUUUUUGGAUUCAUUGCCAAGCAAUGAAGCAGUGCGUUUAACUAUUAACAGAAGAACUCCUUCAGGGGCUGUUGAAUGCAAAGAAGUAAACAAUGACCAAGAUACAAAUGAUUUUGGCAGUGCACAUCCUGAUUCAAAUUGCCCAAAUGCUGCACACAGUGAAUUAUCGGUUAAAAAAAAAACUUUGGAAUUUCACCCGAUUCAAUUUAUUUGAUGAUUCAACUGAUUCAGAAUAAUUUAUUUAAAAGAAAUAUA
rnacentral:lncRNA from 1 species